rnacentral:rRNA from 1 species
CUAUGUCCAGCCCAAAGCAAGCCAGCACAGCUCAAAGUCAAAGCCUCGUACCCGAGAAUUGAGCUCUCUAGCACUAGCACUGAAGAUCGGGCCAGCUUGAUGGAGCAAGUGACGAAGCUAGCGGGGCAGCGGGCCGUGGUGAUCUUCGGCACGAGCUCCUGCUGCAUGUGCCACACGGUGACGAGCCUCCUCCGGGAUCUCGGGGCAAACCCCACGGUGGUGGAACUGGACGAGGACCCUUGGGGGAAGGAGAUGGAGAAGGCGCUGGCGCGGCUCAUCGGACGGAACCCUGCCGUGCCGGCGGUGUUCAUCGGCGGCAGGCUCGUCGGAUGCACCGACAAGGUCAUGUCCCUUCACCUCAGCGGCAAACUGGUCCCGCUGCUUCGUAAUGCAGGUGCUGUCUGGGUGUAG